rnacentral:misc_RNA from 1 species
AAGAAGAAGAAGAAGCAGCAGCAAAGAAGAAACCUUCUAAUAGGCAUACUCAAUCACCAUGGGAUUUCGCUUCUUACUCCGAGUCCGUUGCGGAAGAACACGCUCGUCGAAGCACCACCUCCGUGGAUUACAAGAUUUCCAGAGCCCUUCAACAUCGCUCCGUUCCUAUCACCACUCCCGCCGCCGACGCAGAAGCCGCCUCAGAUUCGGAACCAGACAAACAGGAAGAUUAUAGAUCAGAAGAGGAUGAUGAUGGGGAAAGUAAUGCCGAUGGAAGGAAGUCAUUUUUUGCACCUGCAGAAGGAGCUUCCUUCCAUGCGAAUUCUUUCAUGGAGCUCAAUCUAUCUCGCCCAUUGCUUCGGGCUUGUGAGGCUUUAGGUUACACUAAGCCUACUCCAAUUCAGGCUGCUUGUAUACCACUGGCACUCACUGGCCGUGAUAUUUGUGGGAGUGCGAUUACUGGUUCUGGGAAGACAGCUGCCUUUGCAUUACCUACUUUGGAGAGAUUACUUUUUCGUCCAAAACGUGUUCAAGCAAUACGGGUCCUCAUUCUCACACCAACAAGAGAGUUGGCGGUUCAGGUUCACAAUAUGAUAGAGAAACUUUCUCAGUUUACAGAUAUUAGAUGUUGCUUGAUUGUUGGUGGGCUUUCUACAAAGGUGCAAGAAUCUGCCUUGAGAUCAAUGCCAGAUAUUGUUGUGGCUACCCCAGGACGAAUGAUAGAUCAUUUACGCAAUUCUAUGUCUGUGGAUUUGGAUGAUCUUGCAGUUUUAAUCCUUGAUGAAGCAGAUCGCCUUCUGGAACUUGGAUUUAGUGCUGAAAUUCAUGAACUGGUUAAGUUAUGUCCCAAAAGGAGGCAGACCAUGCUCUUCUCAGCUACAAUGACUGAAGAAAUUAAUGAGCUUAUCAAACUUUCUCUGACUAGACCACUGCGUCUCUCAGCUGACCCAUCUGCAAAACGACCAGCUACAUUGACUGAAGAGGUGGUCAGGGUCCGCAGAAUGCGUGAGGUGAAUCAGGAGGCUGUUCUUCUUGCCUUGUGUUCAAAAACUUUUACAUCUAAAGUGAUAAUCUUCAGUGGUACUAAGCAAGCUGCACAUAGGUUGAAGAUUUUGUUUGGAUUAGCUGGCUUUAAAGCUGCUGAGCUCCAUGGAAAUCUUACACAAGUCCAGCGUCUUGAUGCUUUGGAACUUUUCAGGAAGCAGCAAGUCGAUUUUUUGAUUGCUACUGAUGUAGCUGCUCGUGGACUUGACAUUAUUGGUGUUCAAACAGUUAUUAAUUAUGCAUGUCCUCGUGAUCUGACAAGCUACGUUCAUAGGGUCGGUCGUACGGCAAGAGCUGGUAGAGAAGGUUAUGCUGUAACAUUUGUGUCAGAUAAUGAUCGUUCUCUUUUAAAAGCCAUUGUGAGCCAUUUUCUUCCUCCAUUUUCUGAGGCUUGUAUGUUUAACAUAAUUUCUGUAAGAGAUAAAGCAACAUAUUUGUUUUAUUUGUGUAUUGACUAUGGUAAGUUAAUAGAGCCACAAAUUUAGAAUUGCUAUUUAUCCUAAGCUAUUUUGUUAUCUUGAAAAAUGUUGUUAUUACUUUAUUUAUGAAUAAUUAGAUUUAAUGAGAUUGAACACAAACUACAUAAAUGAUGCUGAUAAUACAGAAUAUUUUCUUUCUUGGAGUAGCCACUAAUGUUGUCAAUCCUAAGUCAUGAUGAGAUAACAUUUUCAUUGCUUUGUAUGAAAAUAUGUUAGUUUUAUACAGUGUUCAUGGUAGGAUUACAUAGGUCCUAGAACUUAAGCUGUCUAGGUAUUUUGGCUCGUUAGCUGAAUUGCAUAAUUGCAUUGCGUCUUAGAGAAACUCUCCUUAUUUCUUUAUUUGAGAAUUGUCAUCUUAUUGUUACUUUAGAAAUCUAAAAAUAUGCCAACAGCCUGGCUGGCUUGCUGCAUAAAGAUCUCUCUAGGACACUGCGUCUGAUUUUGGCAAUGCUACAUUUUUUUUCUUCUUCAGUUGUUCAUUUAAUAGAUUUUGAUAUUGGGGGACCAUGACCAAUCAAUCAAUGGUGAAGUUAAUGUUGAAAGAUUCACACAAAUUAGAACUCUUAUUGUUUUGGCUUGUUUGGGGUUUUGGGUUCUACUAUGUUAGUCUAAAUGCAGUGAUCCUCUAAGAAAUUAGCUAAAAAGAUUUUAACAUGUAAAGUAUGACAGGAUAAUUAAUUAGAAACACAGGAUAAUUAAUUAGAAACAUUCUUCAAAUUUCCUUUCCUUUAUCUGCAUCAUCAAUUGAGCCUGAUAUGACUCACUAGGCUCUAUAAAUAGGCAAAAAGAGCUGGUUCAAAGUUGAAGAGCCGUAUUGUUGCAGAGCAAUCAAUUGCUAAGUGGUCUCAGAUAAUUGAUCAAAUGGAAGAUCAAGUGGCUGCCAUUCUUCAAGAAGAGAGGGAAGAGAGAGCUUUAAGAAAAGCUGAAAUGGAAGCAACAAAGGCAGAGAAUAUGAUUACGCACAAGGAUGAAAUUUUUGCACGCCCCAAAAGGACAUGGUUUGUAACAGAGAAAGAGAAGAAGCUUGCAGCAAAAGCAGCAAAGGCAUCAAAAGAGAAAGAAAAAGGUUCUGGGAAUGAGGUUAUGAGUGCCCAACAGGCUGAAGAUCUUAAAUUGAAGGAAAAGAGGAAGCGUGAGCGUGAGAAAAAAUUGCCCCGGAAGAAGCGUCGAAAAUUACAAGCAGCCAGAGAGAUGUUGGAGGAUGAAGAUCAUAUUGAGAAAUCAGAAGGUAAUGGAAUAAAUAAGAAAGAGAAGACUGGGAUGUCACUGGUUGACCUGGGUUACCGACGGGCGAAAGCAGUGAAGGCUGUGAAGAGGGCACUAGAUGCAGGCAAGAUUGUGCAAAAGGCAGGGAAGAAAAAAUCGAAGCGUCCUCCUGAAAGAACUCAAUCAAGGACUGAAGAGAUGCGGGAACUAUUCCAAAGUGACAUGACCGAGAAAAAGCGGAAGAAAAGCAGUGGUGGAAUGGGAAGCAAAAAGUCCAAGAAUUCAUUUA